rnacentral:tRNA from 1 species
GGAGAGGUGGCUGAGUGGUUGAAAGCGCUCCCCUGCUAAGGGAGUAAGGUGUUAAAGCCUUCGAGGGUUCGAAUCCCUCCCUCUCCGCCA